AAGUCGUAACAAGGUUUCCGUAGGUGAACCUGCGGAAGGAUCAUUACAGAGUUCUUGCCCUUACGGGUAGAUCUCCCACCCUCGAAUACAUACCUUUGUUGCUUUGGCGGGCCGCGCUUGCGCUACUGGCUUCGGCUAGUACGUGCCCGCCAGAGGACCACAACUCUUGUUUUUAGUGAUGUCUGAGUACUAUAUAAUAGUUAAAACUUUCAACAACGGAUCUCUUGGUUCUG
rnacentral:misc_RNA from 1 species